rnacentral:tRNA from 1 species
UGGCAUGUAGCUCCAGCGGAAGAGCAGACGGCUGUUAACCGUCGGGUCGUAGGUUCGAAUCCUACCAUGCCAGCCA